GUGGGGAAUCUUGCACAAUGGGCGAAAGCCUGAUGCAGCCAUGCCGCGUGAAUGAUGAAGGCCUUAGGGUUGUAAAAUUCUUUCGUCAGGGAUGAUAAUGACCGUACCUGAAGAAGAAGCCCCGGCUAACUUCGUGCCAGCAGCCGCGGUAAUACGAAGGGGGCUAGCGUUGUUCGGAAUUACUGGGCGUAAAGCGCACGUAGGCGGACUUUUAAGUCAGGUGUGAAAUCCCGGGGCUCAACCUCGGAACUGCAUUUGAAACUGGAAGUCUUGAGAUCAGGAGAGGUUAGCGGAAUACCGAGUGUAGAGGUGAAAUUCGUAGAUAUUCGGUGGAACACCAGUGGCGAAGGCGGCUAACCGGACUGAUACUGACGCUGAGGUGCGAAAGUGUGGGGAGCAAACAGGAUUAGAUACCCUAGUAGUCC
rnacentral:rRNA from 1 species